rfam:Bacteriovorax marinus SJ genome.
GGGUGUGUCGAUAGCGACGAGGAAAUACCUGAUCCCAUCCCGAACUCAGAAGUCAAGCUCGUCAGCGGCGAAAGUAGUGCCAGGGGGACUUGGUGUGAGGCUAGCACGAUGCACCCA